rnacentral:rRNA from 1 species
UACAGAGGGUGCGAGCGUUAAUCGGAAUUACUGGGCGUAAAGCGCGCGUAGGCGGCUUUGCAAGUCGAGUGUGAAAUCCCCCAGGCUCAACCUGGGAACUGCAUUCGAGACUGCAUAGCUAGAGUAUGGGAGAGGGAAGUGGAAUUUCAGGUGUAGCGGUGAAAUGCGUAGAUAUCUGAAGGAACAUCAGUGGCGAAAGCGACUUCCUGGACCAAUACUGACGCUCAUGUGCGAAAGCGUGGGGAGCAAACAGG